GACUGAGACACGGCCCAGACUCCUACGGGAGGCUGCAGCAGGGAAUAUUGCGCAAUGAGCGAAAGCUUGACGCAGCGACACCGCGUGUGGGAUGACGGAUCUAGGUUUGUAAACCACUUUCAGGAGGGAAGAAAAUGACGGUACCUCCACAAGAAGCCCCGGCCAACUACGUGCCAGCAGCCGCGGUAAUACGUAGGGGGCGAGCGUUGUCCGGAUUUAUUGGGCGUAAAGAGCUCGUAGGCGGUUCAACAAGUCGGUCGUGAAAGUUCAGGGCUCAACCCUGAAAUGUCGAUCGAUACUGUUGUGACUAGGAUACGGUAGAGGUGAGUGGAAUUCCGAGUGUAGCGGUGAAAUGCGUAGAUAUUCGGAGGAACACCAAUUGCGAAGGCAGCUCACUGGGCCGCUAUCGACGCUGAGGAGCGAAAGCUAGGGGAGCAAACAGGAUUAGAUACCCUGGUAGUCCUAGCUGUAAACGAUGGAUACUAGACGUAGGAAUUGGAUUAACGAUUUCUGUGUCGUAGCUAACGCGUUAAGUAUCCCGCCUGGGGAGUACGGUCGCAAGACUAAAACUCAAAGGAAUUGACGGGACCCCGCACAAGCGGCGGAGCAUGCGGCUUAAUUCGAUGAUACCCGUAGAACCUUACCUGGACUUGACAUAUAGGGAAAAGUUAUAGAAAUAUAAUGUGCAUUAGCGCCCUAUACAGGUGGUGCAUGGCUGUCGUCAGCUCGUGUCGUGAGAUGUUGGGUUAAGUCUCGCAACGAGCGCAACCCCUGUCCUAUGUUGCCAGCAAGUAAUGUUGGGGACUCAUAGGAGACUGCCGGUGAUAAACCGGAGGAAGGUGGGGACGACGUCAAGUCAUCAUGCCCCUUAUGUCCAGGGCUGCACGCAUGCUACAAUGGCAAGUACAACGAGUCGCAAUACCGCGAGGUGGAGCAAAUCUCUUAAAGCUUGUCUCAGUUCGGAUAGGAGUCUGCAACUCGACUCCUUGAAGUUGGAGUCGCUAGUAAUCGCAAAUCAGCAAAGUUGCGGUGAAUACGUUCUCGGGGUUUGUACACACCGCCCGUCAAGUCACGGAAGUCGGCAAUACCCGAAGCCAGUGGUCCAACCCUUUUGGGAGGAAGCUGUCGAAGGUAGGGUCGGUAACUGGGACUAAGUCGUAACAAGGUAACC
rnacentral:rRNA from 1 species